rnacentral:rRNA from 1 species
UACAGAGGGGGCAAGCGUUAUUCGGAAUUAUUGGGCGUAAAGGGCGCGUAGGCGGCCUGGCAAGUGGAAGGUGAAAUCCCUCGGCUUAACCGAGGAACUGCCCUCCAAACUGCUUGGCUUGAGUCCGGGAGAGGUGAGUGGAAUUCCCAGUGUAGCGGUGAAAUGCGUAGAUAUUGGGAGGAACACCAGUGGCGAAGGCGGCUCACUGGACCGGAACUGACACUGAGGCACGAAAGCGUGGGGAGCAAACAGG